rnacentral:rRNA from 1 species
UCAUACAAGUGACCCCGGUCUAACCACCGGGAUGUUCAUAACCCUUUGUUGUCCGACUCUGUUGCCUCCGGGGCGACCCUGCCUUCGGGCGGGGGCUCCGGGUGGACACUUCAAACUCUUGCGUAACUUUGCAGUCUGAGUAAACUUAAUUAAUAAAUUAAAACUUUUAACAACGGAUCUCUUGGUUCUGGCAUCGAUGAAGAACGCAGCGAAAUGCGAUAAGUAAUGUGAAUUGCAGAAUUCAGUGAAUCAUCGAAUCUUUGAACGCACAUUGCGCCCCCUGGUAUUCCGGGGGGCAUGCCUGUUCGAGCGUCAUUUCACCACUCAAGCCUCGCUUGGUAUUGGGCAACGCGGUCCGCCGCGUGCCUCAAAUCGACCGGCUGGGUCUUCUGUCCCCUAAGCGUUGUGGAAACUAUUCGCUAAAGGGUGUUCGGGAGGCUACGCCGUAAAACAACCCCAUUUCUAAGGUUGACCUCGGAUCAGGUAGGGAUACCCGCUGAACUUAAGCAUAUCAAUAAGCGGAGGAAAAGAAACCAACAGGGAUUGCUCUAGUAACGGCGAGUGAAGCAGCAAUAGCUCAAAUUUGAAAUCUGGCGUCUUCGACGUCCGAGUUGUAAUUUGUAGAGGAUGCUUCUGAGUAACCACCGACCUAAGUUCCUUGGAACAGGACGUCAUAGAGGGUGAGAAUCCCGUAUGCGGUCGGAAAGGUGCUCUAUACGUAGCUCCUUCGACGAGUCGAGUUGUUUGGGAAUGCAGCUCUAAAUGGGAGGUAAAUUUCUUCUAAAGCUAAAUAUUGGCCAGAGACCGAUAGCGCACAAGUAGAGUGAUCGAAAGAUGAAAAGCACUUUGGAAAGAGAGUUAAAAAGCACGUGAAAUUGUUAAAAGGGAAGGGAUUGCAACCAGACUUGCUCGCGGUGUUCCGCCGGUCUUCUGACCGGUCUACUCGCCGCGUUGCAGGCCAGCAUCGUCUGGUGCCGCUGGAUAAGACUUGAGGA